AAAUUGAAGAGUUUGAUCAUGGCUCAGAUUGAACGCUGGCGGCAGGCCUAACACAUGCAAGUCGAACGGUAACAGGAAACAGCUUGCUGUUUCGCUGACGAGUGGCGGACGGGUGAGUAAUGUCUGGGAAACUGCCCGAUGGAGGGGGAUAACUACUGGAAACGGUAGCUAAUACCGCAUAACGUCGCAAGACCAA
rnacentral:rRNA from 1 species